rnacentral:misc_RNA from 1 species
UUCUUUAUUAUGGUAUUUAUACAUUCAUACGACAGGUUUGUCACGGGCCAGGGCCCACUUUUCACAGUGUGUAUGGUAUGACGGCUCGAUGGCCGAAUCCAUUAAUGAUCCUUCCGCAGGUUCACCUACGGAAA